rnacentral:lncRNA from 1 species
UCCUGGUUCAUUUUGCGGUUCACUACAAAACUACAUCCAAGCCUCCUCUUCUGAUCUUGGGAGAUUUUCUUCUUAACUAUAGAACACAAUGUAUAGUUACAUACACGCUUCCAAUUACAAGAUUCGACCGCUCCUUUUUUGGAACCCAAAGAACUUUGUCACCCUUGGUUUGACCUUUCCUAAAAUCGACUCCCAAGAAAACCUUUCUUACCGCGAUUCAGCCCCAGCCAAGGUAUCGCUAUUUAUCCCAAGACCUCCAAAUCUUUGUGAAGAACACCUUACCAAACUACAGCUAGGAUUUUCCUUAUCCUUGAAUUACAAUGCUUUGAGUUAUGAUUGAGUACUUAAUACUCGGAUUUUACAAUAAAGAUCAAAGACUAAAACCUAAGCAAGAACUCACAAGACUUCCUAGUCUAAUAUGAAUGUAUAUG